AAUCUGUUUCCUCAGCUUUAUCCCGGUGAGAAGAACCGGCAACAGCAACGGACUCUGAGGCUUUUCCAUCUUACUUCCUUAUCCAUUUCCUGCUCACAGGGUGGAUUAAAAACUUGGUUACAAAACGCGGACUGGUGGCUCCUGGAAGAGCCCUGAGGGAAUUUCUGACGGGCUGGAGGAAGGAAAUCCUCUGUCUCAGUUUUGCUGGUUUUUUCCUGGAGUGUUUUCCAGAGGACGCCAGCCUGUGGACAUGGCCCCUGAGGGCUUUGGUGGGGGUGGCCUUCCUCCCUUUCCUCACCCCUGGCCUGGCCUGGGCUGACAGCCUGCUUCAGGGCCAAGGAACCGGCAAUGCCAGGCACUCCCUGAGCCCUGCUGGCCAAAAGGUGCCCAUUCCUCACAUUUCUAUCUUCCAUUCUGCUGCUGCUAAGUCGCAUCAGUUGUGUCUGACUCUGUGCAACCCCAUAGAUGGCAGCCCACCAGGCUCUGCUGUCCCUGGGAUUCUCCAGACUGAGUUUCACAAGCGGAGACAAUACCUUGUUAACCACCUAUACUAGUGAUGGGAAUGAGGCUGAGCUACAGGCAAGCAGCUGCUAGCCCCUGGAUAUUUCUAGCACCUUCUUGCAGACCCCAUUGGAAGCCUUUGAGGAACUGUGUGAAUAUAACCUGUGCUGCUGGCUUCUGGACCCUGAGCAGAGAUUGGAUCCUGCAGUGCUGGAGCCUCUCAUUAAAUAAAUAACCCA